GAGUUCCGAUAAGAUCACCAAAGUUAAGCAACAUCCAACCAGGUCAGUACUUAGAUGGGUGAUCGCUUGGGAAUACCAGGUGCUGUAAG